GACGAACGCUGGCGGCGUGCUUAACACAUGCAAGUCGAACGGAAAGGCCCUGCUUGCAGGGUGCUCGAGUGGCGAACGGGUGAGUAACACGUGGGUGAUCUGCCCCUUACUUUGGGAUAAGCCUGGGAAACUGGGUCUAAUACUGGAUAGGACCAUGCUGUAGGUGGUGUGGUGGAAAGAUUAGUUUCGGUAAGGGAUGAGCUCGCGGCCUAUCAGCUUGUUGGUGGGGUAAUGGCCUACCAAGGCGUCGCCGGGUAGCCGGCCGGAGAGGGUGGACGGCCACAUUGGGGCUGGGGAACGGCCCAGGACCCUACGGGGGGCAGCAGUGGGGGAAAAUGCACAAUGGGCGCAAGCCUGGUGCAGCGACGGCGGGGGGGGGAUGACGGCCUUCGGGUUGUAAACUCCUUUCAGCCAUGACGAAGCCCUUGUGGUGACGGUAGUGGUAGAAGAAGCACCGGCUAACUACGUG
rnacentral:rRNA from 1 species